GUCAUGGACAGAGUGAAUAAUGGACUGAGGCAUACCAAAGGACAAAGUUGCAGUCUGGUAAACAUUCCCAAAAGCCAAAAGACAUCAGCGGUUUAACUCAAAUAUAAUCACUGCAAUGUCUAGAUUCUGGUUCCCCUAACAGACUGUCUGGUGGAACAUCAGUUAGUGAACCAAUAUAGCGAGGAUUAGAUGCACAUGGUUCUUGGUCCUCGUCUCAGACACACCAGUCUUUGUGUGGAUGUGACAUCUGUUUACAGGGAUGCCACGAUGUAGCCGUAGUUGCUGGCUCGGCAAGAACACUCCAUUGCCCCCUCCUUUCUUCCCAAUGCAGCCUG